GUGGGCCGCCGGGCGGGCGCCGGCCAGCAUCGGCGACGUGCUGGCUGUGGAACCCCCUCCCCUCCGCGGCGCGCGGCUGCGCAAGCAGCUCGGCGAAGAGCCGAGGGAGGGCGAGGCCUCCCAGCGCGAAUGGAGAUGACCCCCGAGUCACGGGGAGAUGACGCUCUGGGUUUGCGUGGAAUGUCCUCCCCGCGGGGUUAGGGUCAAACAGGCCCUGUGAGGGGCCGCGGUGAGGGCCGGGUGGACCCUUAGACGGAUCCCGCCUAAACAGAAGAGGGGGUACGAGCGGUCCAC
rnacentral:RNase_P_RNA from 1 species